GACUGGACAGCCAUUUGUUCAGAAUGGUAUAGGGCCGUGAUGGCGAACCUAUGGCACGCGUGCCACAGGUGGCACCCGGAGCCAUAUCUGCAAGCACGCGAGCCAUUGCCUUAGCUGAGCUCCAGUCAGCUGAUUUUUGGCUGCCCCUCCCCUCCCAGGAGUUUCCACGCAGCCCGUUUUGGAUGCCAGGUAGUCUUUUUCUGGUGGACAUUAAAGAUGAAAACCUGGGCAAUCUGGAAACGGGGCUUUGCAACAACCAGGCGAAACUUAUGGAGGAAGCCUUAGCCGCUGCUGAAGAUCUCUCUGUUCCAGGCCAAAAGAACAUUAAAGUGGAGGCUUCGUCAAUGAGCUUCCUUCCUCUGUACCGAGAUGACAGUGAAUGCUGCCUCCUGGUACUCACUGAUCCCCAAGAUAAGAACACAGUAUUAGCAAUUUAUUUGAACAACUCCUGGCGGCUUCCUGAGGAUGUAAUCAAGACGUCUGACCCUUUGCGGGAAGGCCUGAAACAGGUUCAAACCUGUCAAGAGAGAAUCGUUCUCUUCGUCCUUAACUGCAUCAUUUUUGGCACGUUGGAGAGGAGCCUGACUGACGAUACAGUCUUUGUUCCUCAUCCUAAGAAGGAAGAUGCCAGAAUAUUCUGGAAGAGUGGAGAAGCAGCGGCUUUUUAUACUGUCAAAAGAAAAGGAAAUUUGUGUGAUGGACACACCAGCCAAUGUUAUAUGCUCCCUGUUCUGGACACCAUGUUCGUACGAAAAAAGUUUAGAAGAUGUGGACUUGGGAUAAAGAUGCUUCAGGAUUUUUGUCAGUCGUUCCCCUCGGAGGAUGCCUUGGGACUCAGCAGUCCUCUUUCGGCUGAAAUGGAGAAAGUUUGUCAAAAGUUCUUGGAGACUUACCCAAAACAGCAGCCUCGGCUGUGGGAAGUGGAAGCACCCGGAGACUGGACUCAGCGUGUUAACAUCUGGCUAAAAAUCCAACUGGAACAAAAUGCGGACCGAAGUUCUCCCAUGCCAGAGGGUCAAGAUGGUGAAGCCGAGGAAGGACGGAUAAAUACGAACUGAUCAUAACCUGCUGAAACCCACUUCUGGAGUGGCUGUGCCUGCAGCACACGGAGUGGAACCGCAUGUAAGCGAAGCAUGUACCUGUUUGGCACUCGGAGUUCUUGAAAUAUCCAGGAGUAAAAUAGCAGCAACGGGUGGAGUGAAUCCUAAGGCUUGCAGCCGAAAGAUAGUCCGAGGAAGCUGACCUUCAUGAGCGUGGCUGUGUAUCCUACCAGGUGUUGUGGCCUGUGAGCAGCUGGCCCCUCCAACAGCCGAAUCAGAGGAGGAGGAGGGUGGGAGUCAGAGUCAGCAUCAAGGCAACCUGAGAGCUCCGAGGGGGAAGAGGGAAUGGAGCUGGCAGAGAGGGAGAAAGAGGCGGAGCCUGGGCCAUUCAUCAGCCCUCAGGUGGACAGUCAACAUCCUCCAGGUCUGGAGGUGGCUGAUGAGGAAGAGGAGGAACAGCUGGGUCCAGUGCCUGACGCGUGGAUGUGCAGAAGGCAGAGGAGAGGAGGGCAGUGGAAAUCCAUGGGCCAGUCCUUGGAACGGAAGAGCCACUGCUGCUAGCAAAGCCCCACCCUAGCUCUGGGGAUAAAAGGCAGGGGCAGAAAUGAAUAGGUGUGGCAAACAACACCUAUUCCAGUUGGGCAAACUUGUUAGCCUGCGAGAGAAACUUUUUGCCAGGACUGCCGGCAUUCCUAAUAAAGGAAUGUUUGUUUAUGUUUA